AGCCUUCCUAAUGUUUGGAAUAAACUCUUUCCUACAAGACUCUGCUGGCUGUUGAGCUUCCUUCAUACGAAGAAUAUUACAUGGUGUCAGAAGUGGGAUACGAACCUCUUCUGUGCUACAACCUGGAAGCUAGCAUCCCCCGAAAAAGGAGUGUUUAGACAUGGAGUCAUUUCGUCAUCCUCCUCCCCCUGCUAUGCAAGGUAAUUUGGCUGAGAACUAGAGACGGUGGGAACAGGCCUUUCAGUUGUAUCUUGCUGCAGCGGGACUUGAGAAUGUGUCAAAGAAGCGGCAGAUAGCUAUCCUGCUACAUUGUGUGGGAGAGGAAGGAGUUUCUUUAUAUAAUACAUUUGUUUUUGCCGAGGAGAACCCGAAAGAUAUUGCAGAGGUUCUGGAACAGUUUAGGACUUAUUUUUUACCUCGGAAGAACAUUGUGUUUGAAAGGUUUUGUUUCUGGAACCAUAUGCAGAGUCCUGGAGUUACAAAUGUGCAAUUUAUUGCUGAGAUAAAACUGAAAGCAGCCAGCUGUGAAUUUGGAAUGGCAGUUAAUGAGAUGAUAAGAGAUAAAGUUGUUUUUAGUUUACAGCAAGAGAAACUGAAACAAAAGUUGUUACAAGAAGCCGAUCUUACACUUGAGAAGGCCGUGGAGAUAUGCCGGGUUGAUGAGACAACGAGAGCUCAGCUGAGAACCAUGGCAAUAACAUCGGAAGAAGGAGUGUUUGAAUUACAAGACGGCCAUGGAGAAAACAAAGAGAUUAUAACUCAAGCUCUGGGAACCAGGGAGUCAAGACACAGAGACAAUUGGAAAAAUCAGAAUAAGUGUGGUUAUUGUGGUACAGCUCAUGAACCUCGGAGGUGUCCAGCAUUUGGAAAGACCUGCAACAAGUGUGGCAAGAAAAAUCAUUAUGCCAGGUUAUGCAGGUCAAGGGUGACCAAUCCUGUGAAUAUACAAGCCAGACAACACAUUCAUGAGUUGAAUGAUUCCUAUUAACGUGCGUCAAGAUCUACAAAGAGCUCAGGAAAGACAGAAACAUUUUUAUGAUCGAACAGCAAGACCCCUCAAACCACUAAGAGAGGGAGAUUUGGUAUGGAUGCAAUCCAAUAAUUGCAAAGAAAGAUGGCUUCCUGCCGUUGUGAUAGAAAAAUGUAAACAACCUUGGUCAUAUCUAAUAAAGAAUCAGGACGGCCGCGUAUAUCGGCGUAAUAGGCGUCAAUUAAAACAACGGAACCAAACACCCGAAACUACAAUUCAAGGAAAUACAACAUAUAAUGGUUCUAAAGGGAUGUUUGUGAACAAAAGUGACGCACAUGUAAUAGCAGAUAGAAAGCCAACGUAUGUGACAUCGCAUGGCAGGCCUGUGUUUGAACCUGUAAGGUACACUCCUUAGAAGGAUGGUGCUGAAGACCAUCCUCAACGGUGGGCUAAGUACUAGUGACCUCUGGCCCCAUAGAAGACAUAUUUUCUUACCUGUCUAGUGAUGUAAUGAAGCUGCCAAGUUUUAAUGAGAGACUUUUGUAAUUUUGAUGUAUGAUUUUUUUAACACUUUUAUAAAAUGUAUUUUGUUUUGUCUUGUCAGAUGUGUAGUUAUUAUGUAUGAAGGGGAGAUGUGGUAUACUGUGCCUUUAAGCCACACUCUCUGGUUGUUACAGCUGUAAUGUAAGAACCACUGAUUGCUGGGAUAUAUAGCUUUUGUGCACCCAAAGCCUCAGUAGCCUUCCUAAUGUUUGGAAUAAACUCUUUCCUACAAGACUCUGCUGGCUGUUGAGCUUCCUUCAUACGACGAAUAUUACAGUAGUAGUAGUAGUAGUAGUAGUAGUAAUAGUAAUGAAUCGUGCAAAUUUGCAAGAAUAUCUCUUUUUC
rnacentral:lncRNA from 11 species